rnacentral:rRNA from 1 species
UGGGGAAUAUUGCACAAUGGGCGCAAGCCUGAUGCAGCGACGCCGCGUGAGGGAUGACGGCCUUCGGGUUGUAAACCUCUUUCAGCUCCGACGAAGCGCAAGGGACGGUAGGAGGAGAAGAAGCACCGGCCAACUACGUGCCAGCAGCCGCGGCAAUACGUAGGGGGCAAGCGUUGUCCGGAGUUACUGGGCGUAAAGAGCUCGUAGGCGGUUUGUCGCGUCGUCUGUGAAAUUCUGCAGCUUAACUACAGGCGUGCAGGCGAUACGGGCAGACUUGAGUGCUACAGGGGAGACUGGAAUUCCUGGUGUAGCGGUGAAAUGCGCAGAUAUCAGGAGGAACACCGGUGGCGAAGGCGGGUCUCUGGGUAGUGACUGACGCUGAGGAGCGAAAGCGUGGGUAGCGAACAGG